GGCCUGGUGGCUGAACGGUAAAGCACUUGGCUUCUGAACCAGGGGGUCCUGGGUUCAAAUCCCGGUGAAGACU
rnacentral:tRNA from 1 species